rnacentral:rRNA from 1 species
AGUGAACGCUGGCGGUAGGCCUAACACAUGCAAGUCGAACGGCAGCACAGUAAGAGCUUGCUCUUACGGGUGGCGAGUGGCGGACGGGUGAGGAAUACAGCGGAAUCUACUUUUUCGUGGGGGAUAACGUAGGGAAACUUACGCUAAUACCGCAUACGACCUACGGGUGAAAGCAGGGGAUCUUCGGACCUUGCGCGAUUGAAUGAGCCGAUGUCGGAUUAGCUAGUUGGCGGGGUAAAGGCCCACCAAGGCGACGAUCCGUAGCUGGUCUGAGAGGAUGGUCAGCCACACUGGAACUGAGACACGGUCCAGACUCCUACGGGAGGCAGCAGUGGGGAAUAUUGGACAAUGGGCGCAAGCCUGAUCCAGCCAUACCGCGUGGGUGAAGAAGGCCUUCGGGUUGUAAAGCCCUUUUGUUGGGAAAGAAAAGCAGCAGGUUAAUACCCCGCUGUUCUGACGGUACCCAAAGAAUAAGCACCGGCUAACUUCGUG